UCCCCUAUGUUCUAUAUUUAGCCGUGGCGGCCAUCUUGAUUGGAUGGCCGGGUCACCGGACACAUUUUUUAAACUACAUAACCCAAAGAUGAUUGUGGCCAAGUUUGGAUUAAUUUGGCCCCGUAGUUUCAGAGGAGAAGAUUUUUGUAAAAGAUUACUAAGAUUUACGAAAAAUGGUUAAAAAUUGACUAUAAAGGGCAAUAACUCCUAAAGGGGUCAACUGACCAUUUCGGCCAUGUUGACUUAUUUGUAAAUCUUACUUUGCUGAACAUUAUUGCUGUUUACAGUUUAUCUCUAUCAAUAAUAAUAUUCAAGAUAAUAACCAAAAACAGCAAAAUUUCCAUAAAAUUACCAAUUCAGGGGCAGCAACCCAACAACAGGUUGUCCGAUUCAUCUGAAAAUUUCAGGGCAGAUAGAUGUUGACCUGAUAAAC
rnacentral:lncRNA from 1 species